AGUAAAAGUCGUAACAAGGUCUCCGUUGGUGAACCAGCGGAGGGAWCAUUACCAGAGUGCCCUAGGCUCUCCAACCCAUUGUGAACUUACCAAACGUUCCCUCGGCGGGCUCAGCGCGCGGUGGCCUCCGGGCCUCCGGGCGUCCGCCGGGGAAAACCAAACCCUGAUUUAAUCGUAUUUCUCUGAGGGGCGAAAGCCCGAAAACAAAAUGAAUCAAAACUUUCAACAACGGAUCUCUUGGCUCUGGCAUCGAUGAAGAACGCAGCGAAAUGCGAUAAGUAAUGUGAAUUGCAGAAUUCAGUGAAUCAUCGAAUCUUUGAACGCACAUUGCGCCCGCCGGCACUCCGGCGGGCAUGCCUGUCCGAGCGUCAUUUCAACCCUCAGGCCCACCCUUCCGGGGGAGCGGGCCUGGUUCUGGGGAUCGGCGGCCCUCGCGGCCCCCGUCCCUCAAAUUCAGUGGCGGUCGCGCCGCAGCCUCCCCUGCGUAGUAGCACAACCUCGCACCGGAGAGCGGAACGACCACGCCGUAAAACACCCAAUUUUUUAAGGUUGACCUCGGAUCAGGUAGGAAUACCCGCUGAACUUAAGCAUAUCAAUAAGCGGAGGACGGAGGCGGAGAAAGAGCAAGAGCUGGACGCGACGACUUUUGCUGGUUGGAGUGCUUCUGAACACCGYCCUUCUUUCUUUCUUGGAAAAAAAGGAAUUAAUUCAAAUCGGCCUCAGAUUGGUAGGACUACCCGCUGAACUUAAGCAUAUCAUUAAGCCGAAGGAAUUUUU
rnacentral:rRNA from 1 species